rnacentral:rRNA from 1 species
GACGAACGCUGGCGGCGUGCUUAACACAUGCAAGUCGAACGGUGAAGCGCCUUCCUUUUUGGUGGGUGUGGAUGAGUGGCGAACGGGUGAGUAACACGUGAGUAACCUGCCCCCUUCUUCUGGAUAACCGCAUGAAAGUGUGGCUAAUACGGGAUAUUCUGGGUCUGUCGCAUGAUGGGUCUGGGAAAGAUAUUGUUUUGGUGGGGGAUGGGCUCGCGGCCUAUCAGCUUGUUGGUGGGGUGAUGGCCUACCAAGGCGGUGACGGGUAGCCGGCCUGGGAGGGUUGACGGUCACACUGGGACUGAGACACGGCCCAGACUCCUACGGCAGGCAGCAGUGGGGAAUAUGGCACAAUGGGCGAAAGCCUGAUGCAGCGACGCCGCGUGAGGGAUGGAGGCCUUCGGGUUGUGAACCUCUUUCGCCAGUGAAGCAGGCCUGCCUCGUUUGUGGGUGGGUUGACGGUAGCUGGAUAAGAAGCGCCGGCUAACUACGUG